GAUGAACGCUAGCUACAGGCUUAACACAUGCAAGUCGAGGGGCAGCACAGUGUAGCAAUACACGGGUGGCGACCGGCGCACAGGUUCGUAACGCGUAUCCAACCUUCCCGAUACUCUUCGAUAGCCUUCCGAAAGGGAGAUUAAUACCAGAUGGUGUUUCACUUUCGCAUGUUAUUGCAACUAAAGACUUAUCGGUAUCGGAUGGGGAGGCGUGACAUUAGAUAGUAGGCGGGGUAACGGCCCACCUAGUCUACGAUGUCUAGGGGUUGUGGGAGGAAGGUCCCCCACACUGGAACUGAGACACGGUCAAGACUCCUACGGGAGGCAGCAGUGAGGAAUAUUGGUCAAUGGUCGGAAGACUGAACCAGCCAAGUAGCGUGAAGGAUGAAGGUUCUAUGGAUUGUAAACUUCUUUUAUACGGGAAUAAAACCUCCCACGUGUGGGAGCUUGUAUGUACCGUAUGAAUAAGCAUCGGCUAACUCCGUGCCAGCAGCCGCGGUAACAC
rnacentral:rRNA from 1 species